AUUGAACGCUGGCGGCAGGCCUAACACAUGCAAGUAGAACGCAGUUGCGAACGGGUGAGUAACGCGUAGGUAACUGCCUCAUAGCGGGGGAUAACUAUUGGAAACGAUAGCUAAUACCGCAUACUGUGAGAUGGCCCUGCGUUGGAUGAGCUAGUUGGGGAGGUAAAGGCUAACCAAGGCGACGAUACAUAGCCGACCUGAGAGGGGAAUAGGCCACACUGGGACUGAGACACGGCCCAGACUCCUACGGGAGGCAGCAGUAGGGAAUCGUCGGAAAGGGACGGAAGUCUGACCGAGCAACGCCGCGUGAGUGAAGAAGGUUUUCGGAUCGUAAAACUCUGUUGUUAGAGAAGCGGUAUCUAACCAGAAAGCCACGGCUAACUACGUGCCAGCAGCCGCGGUAAUAC
rnacentral:rRNA from 1 species